rnacentral:rRNA from 1 species
GACGAACGCUGGCGGCGUGCGUAACACAUGCAAGUCGAACGAUGAAGCCGGAGCUUGCUCUGGUGAAUUAGUGGCGAACGGGUGAGUAACACGUGAGUAACCUGCCCUUGACUCUGGGAUAACUGCGGGAAACUGUAGCUAAUACCGGAUACGACCCUCGGAGGCAUCUCCUGGGGGUGGAAAGAAUUUCGGUCAAGGAUGGACUCGCGGCCUAUCAGCUAGUUGGUGAGGUAAAGGCUCACCAAGGCGACGACGGGUAGCCGGCCUGAGAGGGGGACCGGCCACAGUGGGACUGAGACACGGCCAAGACUCCUACGGGAGGCAGCAGUGGGGAAUAUUGCACAAUGGGCGCAAGCCUGAUGCAGCAACGCCGCGUGAGGGAUGACGGCCUUCGGGUUGUAAACCUCUUUUAGCAGGGAAGAAGCGAAAGUGACGGUACCUGCAGAAAAAGCACCGGCUAACUACGUGCCAGCAGCCGCCGUAA